AAUAGAUACCCCGGUAGUCCACGCCGUAAACGAUGAGUGCUAAGUGUUAGGGGGUUUCCGCCCCUUAGUGCUGCAGCUAACGCAUUAAGCACUCCGCCUGGGGAGUACGGUCGCAAGACUGAAACUCAAAGGAAUUGACGGGGGCCCGCACAAGCGGUGGAGCAUGUGGUUUAAUUCGAAGCAACGCGAAGAACCUUACCAGGUCUUGACAUCCUCUGACAAUCCUAGAGAUAGGACGUCCCCUUCGGGGGCAGAGUGACAGGUGGUGCAUGGUUGUCGUCAGCUCGUGUCGUGAGAUGUUGGGUUAAGUCCCGCAACGAGCGCAACCCUUGAUCUUAGUUGCUAGCAUUCAGUUGGGCACUCUAAGGUGACUGCCGGUGACAAACCGGAGGAAGGUGGGGAUGACGUCAAAUCAUCAUGCCCCUUAUGACCUGGGCUACACACGUGCUACAAUGGACAGAACAAAGGGCAGCGAAACCGCGAGGUUAAGCCAAUCCCACAAAUCUGUUCUCAGUUCGGAUCGCAGU
rnacentral:rRNA from 1 species